rnacentral:rRNA from 1 species
CUACGGAGGGGGUUAGCGUUGUUCGGAAUUACUGGGCGUAAAGCGCACGUAGGCGGACUGGAAAGUUGGGGGCGAAAUCCCGGGGCUCAACCCCGGAACUGCCUCCAAAACUUCCAAUCUAGAGAUCGAGAGAGGUGAGUGGAAUUCCAAGUGUAGAGGUGAAAUUCGUAGAUAUUUGGAGGAACACCAGUGGCGAAGGCGGCUCACUGGCUCGAUACUGACGCUGAGGUGCGAAAGCGUGGGGAGCAAACAGGAUUAGAUACCCUAGUAGUCC